rnacentral:ncRNA from 1 species
AUAAAGUUUUAUUCUAGCUUAAUACUUAAUUGUUAUGUUAUUUUACAUGUAAUUUUUUAAGAUUGUUUUUUUUUUCUAAAUGAAAUAAAUAUUUAACGCAGUAUUCAAUCUUAUUUAUUAAUAAAUUUAGAAAUAGUAAUCUUUAUUAGAAGAGACUAAUCUUGUGCCAGCAGUCGCGGUUAUACAAUUUCUUCAAUUUAAGUUUUUAGAGUUUUAGUUUAAGUAUAUCCUAUAAUUUCUAUAUACAACAAUUUUAGUGAAAUAUAUUGUUGUUUAUUUUAUUUAUUUAUUUGUCUGAGAAACUUUAUAUAUAGACUAGGAUUAGAUACCCUAUUAUUAAAAGUGUAAAUCAUAAACUCGAUCAUUAAUAGAUAUGAUCUUUAAAUUCAAAGAAUUUGACGGUAAUUUAUCUUUUCAGAGGAACCUGCUCUAUAAUUGAUAGUCCACAAUAGAAUUUACUUUUAUAAAACUUGUAUAUCGCUGUCAAGAAUGUUCUAUUAGGAUACUUUCUUUUUUUUUAUAAAAAAAAUGUCAAGUCAAGGUGCAGUUUAUAUUUAAGAAGAAGUGGGUUACAGCUAAUUAUUAACAUUGAAUUUUAUUUUUCAAUAAAUUAAAUGAAUAUGGAUUUGAAAGUAAUUUAAUUAAAUUAAAUUAUAUGAAAAAAGCUCUAAAUUAUGUACAUAUCGCCCGUCACUCUCAUUCUAAAAUGAGAUAAGUCGUAACAAAGUAGCUGUACUGGAAAGUGUAGCUAGAAAGAAUAAAUUUUA